UUGAAGAAUUUGAAGACUUCAACUUGCAAACUUGAAGAAUUUGAAGACUUCAACUUGCAGACUUGAAGAAUUUGAAGAUUUCAACU
rfam:Solanum tuberosum cultivar DM 1-3 516 R44 scf00572_18, whole genome shotgun sequence.